rnacentral:rRNA from 1 species
CUAAUCAAGCCUGGUGAUAGCUGGUUCUCCCCGAAAGCUAUUUAGGUAGCGCCUCGGACGAAUACCAUAGGGGGUAGAGCACUGUUUCGGCUAGGGGGUCAUCCCGACUUACCAAACCGAUGCAAACUCCGAAUACCUAUGAGUACUAUCCGGGAGACAGACUGCGGGUGCUAACGUCCGUAGUCAAGAGGAAAACAAUCCAGACCGCCAGCUAAGGCCCCAAAAUCAUAGUUAAGUGGGAAACGAUGUGGGAAGGCAUAGACAGCUAGGAGGUUGGCUUAGAAGCAGCCACCCUUUAAAGAAAGCGUAAUAGCUCACUAGUCGAGUCGGCCUGCGCGGAAGAUGUAACGGGGCUAAAACUAUGUGCCGAAGCUGCGGAUGUAUACUUUGUAUACGUGGUAGGGGAGCGUUCUGUAAGCCGAUGAAGGUGUGUUGAGAAGCAUGCUGGAGGUAUCAGAAGUGCGAAUGCUGACGUGAGUAACGACAAAACGGGUGAAAAACCCGUUCGCCGAAAGACCAAGGGUUCCAGUCCAACGUUAAUCGGGGCUGGGUGAGUCGACCCCUAAGGCGAGGCCGAAAGGCGUAGUCGAUGGGAAAAUGGUUAAUAUUCCAUUACUUCUGUGUAAUGCGAUGAGAGGACGGAGAAGGCUAAAUCAGCCUGGCGUUGGUUGUCCAGGUGAAAGGAUGUAGGCAUGUAUCUUAGGCAAAUCCGGGGUACUCUAUGCUGAGAUCUGAUAGCAAGCUGUACUUGUACAGCGAAGUGGUUGAUGCCAUGCUUCCAGGAAAAGUCUCUAAGCUUCAGUUACACAGGAAUCGUACCCGAAACCGACACAGGUGGUCAGGUCGAGUAGACCAAGGCGCUUGAGAGAACUCUGCUGAAGGAACUAGGCAAAAUGGUACCGUAACUUCGGGAGAAGGUACGCUGUUGUUGGUGAUGGAACUCGCUUCCUGAGCUGACGACAGCCGCAGAAACCAGGCCGCUGCAACUGUUUAUUAAAAACAUAGCACUCUGCAAACACGAAAGUGGACGUAUAGGGUGUGAUGCCUGCCCGGUGCUGGAAGGUUAAUUGAUGGGGUUAGCGUAAGCGAAGCUCUUGAUCGAAGCCCCAGUAAACGGCGGCCGUAACUAUAACGGUCCUAAGGUAGCGAAAUUCCUUGUCGGGUAAGUUCCGACCUGCACGAAUGGCAUAAUGAUGGCGGCGCUGUCUCCAGCAGAGGCUCAGUGAAAUCGAAAUCGCUGUGAAGAUGCAGUGUACCCGCGGCUAGACGGAAAGACCCCGUGAACCUUUACUGCAGCUUGACACUGAACUUUGACCUUACUUGUGUAGGAUAGGUGGGAGGCUUUGAAGCUGGAACGCUAGUUCCAGUGGAGCCGUCCUUGAAAUACCACCCUGGUAAUGUUGAGGUUCUAACUCUGUCCCGUGAUCCGGGACGAGGACCGUGUCUGGUGGGUAGUUUGACUGGGGCGGUCUCCUCCUAAAGAGUAACGGAGGAGUACGAAGGUGCGCUCAGCGUGGUCGGAAAUCACGCGUAGAGUAUAAAGGCAAAAGCGCGCUUAACUGCGAGACCCACAAGUCGAGCAGGUACGAAAGUAGGUCUUAGUGAUCCGGUGGUUCUGUAUGGAAGGGCCAUCGCUCAACGGAUAAAAGGUACUCUGGGGAUAACAGGCUGAUACCGCCCAAGAGUUCAUAUCGACGGCGGUGUUUGGCACCUCGAUGUCGGCUCAUCUCAUCCUGGGGCUGAAGCAGGUCCCAAGGGUAUGGCUGUUCGCCAUUUAAAGAGGUACGCGAGCUGGGUUUAGAACGUCGUGAGACAGUUCGGUCCCUAUCUACCGUGGGCGCUGGAAAUUUGAGAGGAUCUGCUCCUAGUACGAGAGGACCAGAGUGGACGAACCUCUGGUGUACCGGUUGUGACGCCAGUCGCAUCGCCGGGUAGCUAUGUUCGGAAGGGAUAACCGCUGAAAGCAUCUAAGCGGGAAGCCUACCUCAAGAUAAGAUUUCCCUAGGACUUUAUGUCCUCUAAAGAGCCGUUCGAGACUAGGACGUUGAUAGGUUGGAUGUGGAAGCAUCCAAAAAUGAUAUGUGAAGCUGACCAAUACUAAUUGCUCGUGAGGCUUGACUA